CGGCGGACGGGUUAGUAACGCGUGGGAAUAUGCCCAAAGGUACGGAACAACAGCUGGAAACGGCUGCUAAUACCGUAUGUGCCCUACGGGGGAAAGAUUUAUCGCCUUUGGAUUAGCCCGCGUUGGAUUAGCUAGUUGGUGAGGUAACGGCUCACCAAGGCGACGAUCCAUAGCUGGUUUGAGAGGAUGAUCAGCAACACUGGGACUGAGACACGGCCCAGACUCCUACGGGAGGCAGCAGUGGGGAAUCUUGGACAAUGGGCGCAAGCCUGAUCCAGCCAUGCCGCGUGAGCGAUGAAGGCCUUAGGGUUGUAAAGCUCUUUCACCGGUGAAGAUAAUGACGGUAGCCGGAGAAGAAGCCCCGGCUAACUCCGUGCCAGCAGCCGCGGUAAU
rnacentral:rRNA from 1 species